rnacentral:snRNA from 1 species
GGCUCUGCGCGGGGGCAGUAUUGUAGCCAACGAGGUUUAUCCGAGGCGCAAUUAUUGCUAAUUGAAAACCCUUCUCAG